ncrna:unclassified sequences ZMP/ZTP riboswitch
AGCGAUCCACACAACUGGCGACAAAAGGCUGAGCCUUAAGAUGGAUGAAACCAUCGGGGAGUGUGAAAAGAACCUAGCCGCUCGCCUGGGCAUAGACA